GAAGCCUGUCUAUGGGUGGAAUUUACCAUGGUGGAAUAUACCGUGGUGGAAUUUACCUAUGGUGGAAUUUUCCGUGGUGGAAUUUACCUAGAACC